rnacentral:rRNA from 1 species
GAUGAACGCUGGCGGCGUGCCUAAUACAUGCAAGUCGAGCGAACAGACGAGGAGCUUGCUCCUCUGACGUUAGCGGCGGACGGGUGAGUAACACGUGGAUAACCUACCUAUAAGACUGGGAUAACUUCGGGAAACCGGAGCUAAUACCGGAUAAUAUAUUGAACCGCAUGGUUCAAUAGUGAAAGACGGUUUUGCUGUCACUUAUAGAUGGAUCCGCGCCGCAUUAGCUAGUUGGUAAGGUAACGGCUUACCAAGGCAACGAUGCGUAGCCGACCUGAGAGGGUGAUCGGCCACACUGGAACUGAGACACGGUCCAGACUCCUACGGGAGGCAGGAGUAGGGAAUCUUCCGCAAUGGGCGAAAGCCUGACGGAGCAACGCCGCGUGAGUGAUGAAGGUCUUCGGAUCGUAAAACUCUGUUAUUAGGGAAGAACAAAUGUGUAAGUAACUAUGCACGUCUUGACGGUACCUAAUCAGAAAGCCACGGCUAACUACGUG